rnacentral:lncRNA from 1 species
GUUCUGCAAUAUCUGUGAUCCUGAAAGGAAUUAUGGCUAAGGAAUUAUGGACCUGUCAAUAUCAGCAAACUCCGGAAUGUUUUUUCAGAAGAAAAAAGAUGAAAGAAAAAGGGAGUGAUUGAAAGAGUUGGAAGUAAUAUCAACAGCAAAGCUUAAAGAGGAAAAAAGAAGAAAAUGGUCAACUUAGCUUCCCAGGCAGAAGAGUGAAAGAAGACAAGUUAGGAGACGUAUGAACCCUUCAGGGGGAGAUCAGAAAGAAAAAUUAGCAGGACUAAUGAAGAAGGGUGAUAAAAGGACCUUAGAAAGAAGCCCAAGAAUGAGUAAGCUGGGUUGGAUGGGUGAAAGCGAAGCUGUGCUCAGUACAUGGAGGCCUCGGGAUCUUCAUGCUCCUGUAUUCAGCUUUGUCGCUACCCUGAGAAUGAGCCUUUCUGAGGCACAGAGAACACAGCAGUGGCCAGAGCUUUGCACACCGCCGUAUCACAAGCCAACCCAACCAGGCUUGCCACUGACCCUAGGAACACGAACGAGCAUGAGCGAUCCUUGCUGAGCAGAGGACUCACCAGCAGAAUCUUGAACUAAAUAAAUGCCAAUCAUUUAAAGCCACUGAAUUAUGUGAUUUUUUUUAUAGAGCAUCA